CAGGGUUUGAGCCGAGAAAAGAAAAUAAAAAAAACUCUCCCAAAGCCUGUCUCUCUCGUCCUCCCUCUCUAUAUAUCCAUCAUAGCAAACACUCUUUCUCUCUCUUAGAACUUGGCAAACAAAAUGGGUCAGGGAACUCCGGGCGGUUUGAACCGGUAAGGCCUACCGGGCGACUGAAAGCCCAACGGCAACGACAAGAAGGAGAAGAAGUUCGAGCCGGCGGCUCCGCCGGCCCGAGUGGGCCGCAAGCAGCGGAAACAGAAGGGUCCAGAAGCGGCGGCGAGGCUUCCGACGGUGACGCCGCUGACCAAGAGCAAGCUCCGGCUACUGAAGCUGGAGCGGAUUAAGGAUUACCUGCUUAUAGAGGAGGAGUUUGUGACGAACCAGGAGCGGCUGAAGCCUCAGGAGGAGAAGGCUGAGGAGGACAGAUCUGAGGUCGACGAUCUACGUGCCUCGCCCAUGAGCGUCGGCAAUCUCGAGGAGCUGAUCGACGAGAACCACGCGAUUGUUUCGUCGUCGGUGGGGCCCGAGUACUAUGUGGGGGUCCUCUCCUUUGUCGAUAAGGAGCAGUUGGAGCCUGGGUGUGCCAUUUUGAUGCACUAUAAGGUAAUUGGGGUUUUGGGCUUGCUAGGGUUUUUGAUUGGGUUGAGGUGAUUUGGUUGGUGAUGCUUUGUUUUGUGUGUUUUGGAUUGUGGUGAUUUUGGUGGAAUUGAGAUUGGUUUAUGGAAAUGAGUUGUGGUGCAGUCGGCGAGCGAAGAUCUUAAUCUUGGUGUGGAUGAGAGUAUACUCUGUUUGUAUUGAAGAAAGAUGGGAAAGCUAUUGUUGGGGAGGCCACCAUUGAGGCAAACACGGUGUAUGGUGCGUUGCGGGGGUUAGAGACUUUCAGCCAAUUGUGUACUUUUGACUAUGAAACUAAAUCCAUGCAAGUACAUAAGUCACCAUGGAACAUACGAGACAACCCAAGGUUUGCAUAUCGAGGGCUUUUGCUUGGUGCAACUAUAGUUCAUGGAGUUCAAAACUUGUGGGUUUCACAACCCCCUCCAAAUAUUCAAUAUGCAGCUAUAGUGAUUGGUGGUUCGUUUAUUAUUGAAGGCGCUUCUCUUCUUGUUGCCAUACAAGUUGUCAAGAAAGGUGCUGCUGCUGAGGGCAUGAAAUUAAGAGACUAUAUAUGGUGUGGUCAUGAUCCUACCUCUGUUGCAGUCAUGACUGAGGAUGGCGCUUCUGUAGCUGGUCUUGCCAUUGCUGCAGCAUCAUUGGUUGCUGUAAAUGUCACAGGAAAUGGAAUUUACGAUCCUAUAGGUUCAAUUGUAGUUGGCAACCUUCUUGGAAUGGUGGCUAUCUUUCUGAUACAAAGGAAUCGACAUGCUUUAAUUGGUAGGGCAAUGGAUGACUAUGAUGUAGAGAACGUUCUUCAGUUCUUGAAAAAUGACCUGGUUGUAGAUUCUUUCCUUUUAUUUGUUUUGCACGUAGUGCAUUCUUGGUUUUCCUUUUGCUGUUGGCAUAUUAAUUUACAUUUUGUUAUGUGAUAUUGCAGUUUGUUAUC